CGUGCUUAACACAUGCAAGUCAAGGGGAAAGUCUCAGCUUGCUGAGAUGAGUAUACUGGCGGAUGGGUGAGUAACACGUAGGUAAUCUGCCCUUAGGACAGGGAUAACAUUGCUAACGCGAUGCUAAUACCUGAUGAAGCAACUGUUGAAUCAGAUGGUUGUUAAAGGCUGGCUUUCAGCUAGCGCCUGAGGAUGAGCCUGCGUCUCAUUAGCUAGUUGGUAGGGUAAUGGCCUACCAAGGCGACGAUGGGUAGCCGGCCUGAGAGGGUGAGCGGCCACACUGGGACUGAGAUACGGCCCAGACUCCUACGGGAGGCAGCAGUGAGGAAUAUUGCGCAAUGGCCGAAAGGUUGACGCAGCGACGCCGCGUGAGGGAUGAAGCUUUUAGGAGUGUAAACCUCUGUUAGGAGGGAAGAAUAAUGGCAAUUCGAACAGGGUUGUCAGAUGACGGUACCCCCAGAGGAAGCCCCGGCUAACUCCGUGCCAGCAGCCGCGGUAAUACGGGGGGGGCUAGCGUUGUCCGGAAUUACUGGGCGUAAAGGGCGCGUAGGCGGGAUAGCAAGUCAGUGGUGCAAACUUGAGGCUUAACUUCAAGCUUGCCAUUGAUACUGUUAUUCUUGAGUUCGGCAGAGGGAAGUGGAAUUCCUGGUGUAGCGGUGAAAUGCGUAGAUAUCAGGAAGAACACCGGUGGCGAAGGCGGCUUCCUGGUCCGAUACUGACGCUGAGGCGCGAAAGCGUGGGGAGCGAACAGGAUUAGAUACCCUGGUAGUCCACGCUGUAAACGAUGGGUACUAGGUGUGGGUUGUAAUGAUCAGCGCCGGAGCAAACGCAUUAAGUACCCCGCCUGGGGAAUACGGUCGCAAGACUGAAACUCAAAGGAAUGACGGGGGCCCGCACAAGCGUGGAGCAUGUGGUUUAAUUCGAUGCAACGCGAAGAACCUUACCUGGGCUUGAACUGCAGGUGCUAUCUCCUGAAAGGGAGUUUCCUUCGGACGCCUGUAGAGGUGCUGCAUGCUGUCGUCAGCUCGUGCUGUGAGGUGUUGGGUUAAGUCCCGCAACGAGCGCAACCCCUGUCCCUAGUUGCCAUCAGGUCAAGCUGGGAACUCUAGGGGGACUGCCCCGGAUAACGGGGAGGAAGGUGGGGAUGACGUCAAGUCAUCAUGGCCCUUACGUCCAGGGCUACACACGUGCUACAAUGGCCGGUA
rnacentral:rRNA from 1 species